AGAUUGAACGCUGGCGGCAGGCCUAACACAUGCAAGUCGAGCGGCAGCACGGGUACUUGUACCUGGUGGCGAGCGGCGGACGGGUGAGUAAUGCCUAGGAAUCUGCCUGGUAGUGGGGGAUAACGGCUCGGAAACGGACGCUAAUACCGCAUACGUCCUACGGGAGAAAGCAGGGGACCUUCGGGCCUUGCGCUAUCAGAUGAGCCUAGGUCGGAUUAGCUAGUUGGUGAGGUAAUGGCUCACCAAGGCGACGAUCCGUAACUGGUCUGAGAGGAUGAUCAGUCACACUGGAACUGAGACACGGUCCAGACCUCCUACGGGAGGCAGCGAGGUAGGGGAAUAGUUAGGACAAGUGGGACGAAAGCCUAGGACUCCGAGCCAGUCGACCGCGUGGUGGUGAAGAACGGUCUUACGGA
rnacentral:rRNA from 1 species